rnacentral:rRNA from 1 species
UAGGGAAUCUUCCGCAAUGGGCGAAAGCCUGACGGAGCAACGCCGCGUGAGUGAUGAAGGUCUUCGGAUCGUAAAACUCUGUUAUUAGGGAAGAACAAAUGUGUAAGUAACUAUGAACGUCUUGACGGUAUCUUAUCAGAAAGCCACGGCUAACUACGUGCCAGCAGCCGCGGUAAUACGUAGGUGGCAAGCGUUAUCCGGAAUGAUUUGGCGUAAAGCGCGCGUAGGCGGUUUUUUAAGUCUGAUGUGAAAGCCCACGGCUCAACCGUGGAGGGUCAUUGGAAACUGGAAAACUUGAGUGCAGAAGAGGAAAGUGGAAUUCCAUGUGUAGCGGUGAAAUGCGCAGAGAUAUGGAGGAACACCAGUGGCGAAGGCGACUUUCUGGUCUGUAACUGACGCUGAUGUGCGAAAGCGUGGGGAUCAAACAGG